CCCUCUACCAAAGGAUAAUAGUAUUCC
rnacentral:tRNA from 3 species